AAAAGUCAUCUUUCUCCACCACAGUUGUUUAGAGAAAACUAGUUCUGGACCACUUAUAUUAUUAGUUUGAUUUCAAAGCAACAUAUAUAAUAAUAUGACUCACCAAAAAUAUUAAUUAAUAAAUAAUAGUGUUAAUACUCAAAUUCUUUGAGCCGUGAAUGUUCAUUCCGUUCACGUCUUGAAUUCAGUUCUCAGGCGAUUUGAGAGAUUGCCAACGUGUUGUUUUCACUAAGAUUAGAUGUAGAAAUUGUAUACCUUUUU
rnacentral:lncRNA from 1 species